GUAAAAUUAGAGCAAUCAAACGUGGUAUAUAAAGUCACUUGUUCUUGUGGUGCUAUUUAUAUAGGCCAAACGAAACAGAAGCUAAAAAAACGAAUGUACCAGCAUAAGUACAAUGCUAAGAUCAAGAACAUCGAUCACAGCGCCAUCACUGAACAUGUUGUCACUCUUGGACAUGAACCGAAGUGGGAUGAGGUAGAAAUAAUGGAAUUUGAAUACAAUAAGAAAAAGCGAUGUGUUUUGGAGAUGAUUCAUAUUAGAAAGAACCCGAAUUGCAUCAAUAAACAGAAAGAAUCAAUUUAUCUAUCCACAGCUUAUAAUAACAUCAUUUAAAUAGUCGCGCCAGUUAUAGCGAAAAUGAAGUUGUUCAACCGUAACUUAACUGAAGUCAAAAGCUUUUGUGAAGUUUCCUUUGUAUUCAAAAUUUACUGGUACAGCUAAAGUGUUUUUCAAUGCAAUUCGAUUAAGUGAUUUUCUAGUCCUUUUUUAAUUAUUAUGACGAAAUGUAUGUUUAUGCGUAACAUACAUUGAAUUUUUUGAAGUGGACUAAUGUUUACGUUUUUCGAUUGAAUGUAACAAUACAUAGGUACAAUGUUGUCUAUUAUGUAGAUUUAACUUGUUGUAAUUAUCAAUGAAAUAUUUUUGUUACAGCCCUGAUGAUGUUUUCGAAUUGAAGACGAAAUAUAUCGGCAAAAUAAUUUAAAAAUUUGUCUUUCUCUGAGCUAAUCCGACAACCACAUAAGAAUGUAUUGAAAUUAUAAAAUCGCAAAAUUUUCUCACUCGAUCAGCUCACGAUCAUUUCCUUUCUUCUCAAAUUUCACACGCACUGAGUCGUGACAAAUAUUUCGCUGAGAAGUCCUAACUAGAAUGUACAAAGUAGAAAAUCGAAAAAAUUUCUAGCUCGCUCCGCUCGCGAUCACUUACAAUCUUAUC